GAAAUGCGAUAAGUAAUGUGAAUUGCAGAAUUCAGUGAAUCAUCGAAUCUUUGAACGCACCUUGCGCUCCUUGGUAUUCCUUGGAGCAUGCCUGUUUGAGUAUCAUGAAAUCUUCAAAGUAAAUCUUUUGUUAACUCAAUUGGUUUCUACUUUGGUAUUGGAGGUCUUUGCAGCUUCACACCUGCUCCUCUUUGUUCAUUAGCUGGAUCUCAGUGUUAUGCUUGGUUCCACUCGGCGUGAUAAGUUAUCUAUCGCUGAGGACACUGUAAAAGGUGGCCAAGGUAAAUGCAGAUGAACCGCUUCGAAUAGUCCAUUGACUUGGACAAUACUUUUAUGAUAUGAUAUCAAAUCAGGUAGGACUACCCGCUGAACUUAAGC
rnacentral:misc_RNA from 1 species